ensembl:lncRNA
AGUGUGUACACGUCCAUUCUAAACUCCCUAACUGUCCCUUCUCUCCAUCAUUCCUCUGGCAACCGAAAGUUUGUUCUAAGUCUGUUUCUGUUGUGUAAGUUUUCCAGUCAUUAAAGCUUUGUCCGAAAGACAGAAGACUCCUGGAUAAAACGUCGGUUCCUAAGAAGGAGGACAAACAUACCUUCCCUACUCUCCUUUCCUCUUCCCUCUGAAGAGAACAAGCUGCCCUGACCUCCAGGAUCUGUAAAAGCAGGAAGUUAUUCCUCCACAAGAAAGCUAUUUUUCAGUCCUGCGGAGCCUAUUUCUGACGACAGCACUCCUGCUUAUCACGGAAUGUCUCCAGGCCUGGCAAAUGGUAGUUUGCAGUAGGGGGAGGAUAAUGAAUGAGAAAAACAUUCCACAAAGACACUUUUCUUCCUUUUGCAGUGAGAAAAGCCUUUUGUUAGAUUAUUGCCUCUUGCUUAAAGGAAGGCCACUGAACAUCCACACUGCAAUUUAAACUAUGAAGAACACAGGUUGUCUUAUGAAAACAUAUGUAAACACUGAUUUGGAAAGUAAAUUAUGUGGAGAUGUUGUAAUGACCAAAUUCAGAAGCAAGGAUGUCAGAUAUUACUUUCCCUCCCUAAAUAUUUUGUGAAUGAAACAUAAGAGAUACAUUGAAUACCCAUUUCUAUAAAUUUUAUCCAUCAAAACACUCAUAUAAGUGGUUGCUCAGAUAACCUAUGUCUGAGGUCUGUUGUCUUGAUGUGAGUCAGGUAUGUUGGUGGCUUAUUCUUAAGCCUGUCUUUAGAGCUUUUUCUCAUUUUGAGAUAUUUUGUGUUUUCAAGUAAUAUUUUAAAAUUUGCUCAUGUUAUCUUAAUGUCUGCUCUGAAUUUCACCAUUUUGAAGCCAUAUGGCAAUUAGUGGC